CCUACGGGAGGCAGCAGUGAGGAAUAUUGGUCAAUGGGCGGAAGCCUGAACCAGCCAAGUAGCGUGCAGGAUGACGGCCCUACGGGUUGUAAACUGCUUUUAUACGGGAAUAACGCGCCUUACGUGUAGGAUUUUGUAUGUACCAUAUGAAUAAGGAUCGGCUAACUCCGUGCCAGCAGCCGCGGUAAUACGGAGGAUCCGAGCGUUAUCCGGAUUUAUUGGGUUUAAAGGGAGCGUAGGUGGAUUGUUAAGUCAGUUGUGAAAGUUUGCGGCUCAACCGUAAAAUUGCAGUUGAAACUGGCAGUCGUGAGUACAGUAGAGGUGGGCGGAAUUCGUGGUGUAGCGGUGAAAUGCUUAGAUAUCACGAAGAACUCCGAUUGCGAAGGCAGCUCACUGGACUGCAACUGACACUGAGGCUCGAAAGUGUGGGUAUCAAACAGGAUUAGAUACCCCUGUAGUC
rnacentral:rRNA from 1 species